rnacentral:lncRNA from 1 species
CCAAAUGAUUAUAGGAGUAUUUUCUUAACCAAAUUACACAUGCAUGUGUGUCCGUUAAUCUUCUACGUGCAUUAUUUUUUUUUGCUGUUUUUUUACUUGUAGAUAUAAUUUUCCGUAUAUAGGUAUAUAAUAGAAAACCGACCAUUGGUUGGAUGGGUAGGGUGGUGGUUGUACCACCAGUCCACCAUGGGUCAAAUUCCAGAUUUGAUAACUUGGAUCUCAUUUCAGACAAAUUACUUUUUCAAUGGUAGGCGCCGGUGUGCCCGUCAACAAUCUUAAGGUGAUGAGCCCAUCCCGACUAGAACUCGAUUCAUGUGAUGUGCGCGCGCGCGGCAAGUCGAGUGAGUGAGCGAGCAUGUGAUUUUUGAGGAAUUAUAUUUGGACAGGUCCUAAAUAUUCAACACUAACCCCUCUACAGAUAUGUUUCUUUGUCAAAACAUCGUCAUUUCUUAGGCGAAGAAUCGCUGGGUUUUAGCAUACAAUGACCUGGCCAAGCGACCAUGGCGAUAAAAAAGCGGUGGAUAAUAAUGUGAUAUAUAAAAUCAGCAUCCUCGCUCCGGACUAUGCAUGGUUGAUCUGUUCUAGUGUGGACGUCAAAAGUAUG